AGACGAUUGACUUGAUUGAAGUUGAAAUGGAAAAGAAAAUUGUACUCAAGACCUUGUAUGUAGUUGAAUCUUGAGUCCAGUUUGUGCUUCCCCAUUCUGAAAAGAGGUUAAAAAGGAAAGUUUUUUCUGAUAAGAUAAAAAAGUUUUUGAUAAAUUACCCAUUAGCAAGAAUCCUGUUGCCCCCGGAAACCAAUUAUGUAAUGAUCGGAACCCAAACACCCGCUACAUGGUGCUGCCAAAUCUUCAGCACCCCAUAACUGCGCAAUUAUACACAAAAGUACCAGAACUCUUACUGCCAAGCAAGGUCCAUACUGGAGGCCCUUCACUCGGCACCCACGAAUUCACCCCAAUAUACCCAUCGCCCAUAGCCCUAGGACCUCCAACUACAAUCAAUCUAUCGCCACAGGCACGAAAUGCUAAACCCCAUCCAUUCAUGGAAGCAGCUCCUUCAGGCAACCCUCCCAUGGUAACCCAUGUCUUGCUUGACUUGUCAAACUUCCUAACCACCAUGGCAGCAUAAUCGGCAGAAUAUAGUUCGUUAUUAACAACUCCCACCAGUGGAGGUGCUUCGGAUGAAGCAGGGAUAUCAGUCCUACCAGCGUUAGGUCGCACAGGGGACAUGUUUGGGAUUUCCGUCCAUUUUCCUGUUGUCAGGUCAUACUCCUCAGCACAUGUCAUCAGCGUCCCGUCAGCUCCACCAAUACCCCCUAUCACGUAAAAUUUACCGUCCAUGAAAACGCCAGAGCACAUCUUCCGUGGGCGGUUCAUGCUAGGCAAUACCCUCCACGAGCCGUCCUCCGAGUUGUAGAUCUCAGCCGAGCUAAGGAUUAUCCCUCGUGAAUCACAGCCGCCAGCGAGAAUGGCAAUCGCUCCAAGGCUGGCAGAACCGAACAGGCAUCGAGGCGCAUUCAUCUGCAUCCCGGUUGUCCAUGUAUUUGUCAGUAAGCUGUACCGAUAAAUAACAUGUGACAACACCUCCUUUCCAAAAACAAGAAGCUCUGUACCAACUGCCAAAGAUUCCUUGUCGGAGAACACGAAGCACUCAUUGGGAUUCAUCGUCGGCAGUUUCAUCCAACGGCGCCUAUUGGGGUCGAAUGCAUCCCAUUCGAGCAGCUGGCACGAGAAAUACACCCAGUGCUCCACCACACCAAUUUUUCGUCGCAACCUAUACAGCUCAUCGCUCCUAACUAAUGAGCGAAAUGCACUAUUCAAAGAUGCUAAGGUGCUAUAAUCUGACCUUGAGCACCAAGCGAGAGAACUUACAGAGUUAUCCCGGCCAAUGGCAGGAAUAAGCGAACUGAUAUCAGCAUUGUCCCCAGCAUCAUCCCCAGUCUGAUGCUGAUUGCCAGCUUGCUCAUCAGGGGGUGCUGCAGCAGAAUCAUCCUCAGCAUGACCCUUAUUAUCAGCUUGCUCAUCAGCGGAUGCUGAAGAAUUGCCCACGGAGAAAACCCCUCCAUCUAGCUCAGAACCAUCAGACUGCUUCUGCAACUUGCAUUGCACAUUUACACCUUCCUCGUCAUUUUCCAAUGGCCUUUUGCCAUUCUGGGCAUCAAUCCUAUCAAUGUGAUAACUCAUGCAGCCCGUCGUCCAGUUAUUUUCUGUUCGACAAUCCCUUUGAACCAUACACGUACGAUCCUCCAACAUGUCUUCCAGAUUGAACCCUAGAACAAACACCAGUUCCG
rnacentral:misc_RNA from 1 species